GGGCAUGUAGCUCAGCUGGUUAGAGCACUCCGACGUACGUCGGAGGGGUCCAGGUUCGAAUCCUGGUUUGUCAA
rfam:Candidatus Shapirobacteria bacterium CG2_30_35_20 cg2_3.0_scaffold_8272_c, whole genome shotgun sequence.